rnacentral:lncRNA from 1 species
CUCCACGUGGCUGUUCUAUGAUACCAAGAAAGCAGAAGUAUUUACCAUUUUGCUGCAAUACUACCUGUAACAUGAGGUCAUAUACGUGCCUCACACCGGACGGCAGGCUGAUGCGCGACGGAGAAGAAAGCAACUUGAGAGAUCCGUGCGUGAGGUACAUUUGCAGGAAAGGAAUACUCGUAACGCAGACGUGCCCAACGUACGCAGACUCGAAAUGCAGAGCUUCUCUUGUAGACGAAUGUGCGCCUUAUCCGGCAUGUUGCGGGGUUUCGAAAGUUUGUGAAGCUGGUUGAAAAAAAGAGUAGCAAGAAUCGUUCAUUGCAACCAAUGAAGAACGACAGCAGAAGGAGUU